rnacentral:rRNA from 1 species
UACAGAGGGGGCGAGCGUUGUUCGGAAUUACUGGGCGUAAAGGGCGCGUAGGCGGCCUUCUAAGUCGGAUGUGAAAUCCCCAGGCUUAACCUGGGAACUGCAUCCGAUACUGGAUGGCUUGAAUCCGGGAGAGGGAUGCAGAAUUCCAGGUGUAGCGGUGAAAUGCGCAGAUAUCAGGAGGAACACCGGUGGCGAAGGCGGAUCUCUGGGCCUUACCUGACGCUCAGGCGCGAAAGCUAGGGGAGCGAACAGG